rnacentral:tRNA from 1 species
GGGGCAGUAGCUCAGCGGUUAGAGCAACGGACUCAUAACCCGUAGGUCCCCGGUUCAAAUCCGGGCUGCCCCAC